CUCUGUGACUCCUACGGGAGGCAGCAGUGGGGAAUAUUGCACAAUGGGCGCAAGCCUGAUGCAGCCAUGCCGCGUGUGUGAAGAAGGCCUUCGGGUGUAAAGCACUUUCAGUUGUGAGGAAGGUGGUGUCGUUAAUAGCGGCAUCAUUUGACGUUAGCAACAGAAGAAGCACCGGCUAACUCCGUGCCAGCAGCCGCGGUAAUACGGAGGGUGCGAGCGUUAAUCGGAAUUACUGGGCGUAAAGCGCAUGCAGGUGGUUUGUUAAGUCAGAUGUGAAAGCCCCGGGGCUCAACCUCGGAACUGCAUUUGAAACUGGCAGACUAGAGUACUGUAGAGGGGGUAGAAUUUCAGGUGUAGCGGUGAAAUGCGUAGAGAUCUGAAGGAAUACCGGUGGCGAAGGCGGCCCCCUGGACAGAUACUGACACUCAGAUGCGAAAGCGUGGGGAGCAAACAGGAUUAGAUACCCUGGUAG
rnacentral:rRNA from 1 species